rnacentral:rRNA from 1 species
AUUGAACGCUGGCGGCAGGCCUAACACAUGCAAGUCGAGCGGUAACGCGGGGCAACCUGGCGACGAGCGGCGGACGGGUGAGUAACGCGUAGGAAUCUACCUGGUAGUGGGGGAUAGCCCGGGGAAACUCGGAUUAAUACCGCAUACGCCUUAAGGGGGAAAGCAGGGGAUCUUCGGACCUUGUGCUAUCAGAAGAGCCU